GACGAACGCUGGCGGCGUGCCUAAUACAUGCAAGUAGAACGCUGAAGAGAGGAGCUUGCUCUUCUUGGAUGAGUUGCGAACGGGUGAGUAACGCGUAGGUAACCUGCCUGGUAGCGGGGGAUAACUAUUGGAAACGAUAGCUAAUACCGCAUAAAAUUGAUUAUUGCAUGAUAAUUAAUUGAAAGAUGCAAUUGCAUCACUACCAGAUGGACCUGCGUUGUAUUAGCUAGUUGGUGAGGUAACGGCUCACCAAGGCGACGAUACAUAGCCGACCUGAGAGGGUGAUCGGCCACACUGGGACUGAGACACGGCCCAGACUCCUACGGGAGGCAGCAGUAGGGAAUCUUCGGCAAUGGGGGGAACCCUGACCGAGCAACGCCGCGUGAGUGAAGAAGGUUUUCGGAUCGUAAAGCUCUGUUGUAAGAGAAAGAAACGGGUGUGAG
rnacentral:rRNA from 1 species